rnacentral:rRNA from 1 species
AACGAACGCUGGCGGCGUGCUUAACACAUGCAAGUCGAAACGCGAAAGGGGACUUCGGUCCUGAGUAAAGUGGCGCACGGGUGAGUAACGCGUAGAUAACCUGUCUUCAUGUCUGGAAUAAUACGCCGAAAGGGGUACUAAUACCGGAUAUCUUGCUUUUCAUAAGUUAUGCAAGCAAAGGUGGCCUCUGCAUAUGCUACUGCAUGAAGAGGGGUCUGCGUACCAUUAGCUAGUAGGUGGGGUAAUGGCCUACCUAGGCGACGAUGGUUAGCGGGUCUGAGAGGAUGAUCCGCCACACUGGCACUGGAACACGGGCCAGACUCCUACGGGAGGCAGCAGUGAGGAAUAUUGCGCAAUGGGGGAAACCCUGACGCAGCGACGCCGCGUGAGUGAAGGAAGGCCUUCGGGUCGUAAAGCUCUGUCAAGAGGAAAGAAGUGUACAAUGGCUAAUACCUGUUGUAUUUGACGGUACCUCUAAAGGAAGCACCGGCUAACUCCGUGCCAGCAGCCGC